AAUCUAGAACAAGAUGGAAGUCAAAAUGAACAGAUAGUUUUUCCUAAGAUUACAAAAGACGACUUAUCAAGUGUUACCACACAGGAAGAAAUAUUGAAGGAGCCCUUGCUUAAAGGGGCUAAGAAAUUUCCCUCUGAAGCAUCUGCAGUUUUCAGAGGUGGAAACAAGGGCAUCAGGCCCCACAAUUUUGAACAGCCUUGCACAUCCAAAACCUUCAUUACAUAGAGCGAACCACCUUUAAAAAGGGCCGAGAAAUCUUCCUCUGAAGCAGCAACAGUUUCCAGGGGUGGGAACAAGGUGAUCAGACCCAUCCGAUUUUGAACAGCCCUGCACAUCUAGAGCCAAGAAAUCUACCUCUGAAGCAGCUGCAGCUUCUAGGGACAUUGAUAAGCAAUGCAAAGGGGUCAAAGCCUCUAGUUCUGAACAACCUAAUGCCUUCACAGCACAGAAGGAAUCAGCUUUAAAAAGCGUAAAGACAAACAACCCUGUAGCAGCAGUGUCCAGGGGUUGGCGUGAGCAGCGGCAAGGGGUCAGUCCCCGAUUCUGAUCACCGCAGAACCGUUGCUACAAAUAACAACCUACCCCCAGGUCUUGCUGCAUCAGUUGUUGUUUUUAAUGAGCUGUUUAGUGUUUGCACAUCUCUUAAGUGUUCAUAGAUAAAAAGUUUUCGAAGCUAAUUUUUGAGGUGUUUCAAAAGCAACGUUCUCCAGACGAAAGGGUGGUUUUAGACUAAAAUACAACAGAAACCUGUGCACUGUUUGUGAAGGUGGAAAGCAUGGUCAAGGGGAAAGGGCGGGUGUGACUAAACAUGAAACCUAAAAAUUUAAAGAGGGGUUAGGGAAAAAAGUGGGAGAAAUCUAAAAGAUUGAGGAGGCUUUUGGCAAAGAAACUUUAAAAAACCAGAGCUCUUUUAAGAAAAUGAUCCACCAACCAAAAAAGGGAAAUGGACGUAGACUCCCCCCACAACCUCCGCUUCUGAAGGUGCAGAGAGAGUCAAGGGGUAUUUUCCACAUUUUUUUAAACACAGCUGAAAAUCAGGACUAUGUGGGGCCUAUGCCAGGGUUAGAGCACUUUGGAGUAGAAUACAUGAUGCCUGAAGAAAAAAAGGAAUUUCUGAACUGGUACCAACACAAUUGCCAAAAUGAAUUUGAUAUCCAGAAAGAACUGCUUUUUGUUGUCAAAAAGAUGUUGACAUUUUGCGAGAGGCUUAUAAUCGGUUCAGAAAAUAAGUCAUGAAAAUGUCAAAAAAAGAAGAUUGUUAAAAACCCAGGAGAGGAUAACGAGGAGGUGGUAACUAAGUGUAUAGACCCCUUUCAGUACCUUACAUUAGCAUCAAUUUGCAUGGCCAUGUACUGCUUUAAUUUUUUAAAACCGCAAACCACAGUCUUUCUACCAUUAGACAAUUACCACAAGCAGCAGAAGAGAUAUUCCACACCGGCCAUGCAAACUUUGUUGCAUGUAGCCCACACAGAGAACAUUUACAUCCAGCACACUUUGCAGAGUGGAGAGUCUAAAGCAGGGUCCUAUUUUUUGGAUGGUUAUGCCAUCAUAGCCUAUAAACCUACAGCCUUUGAAUUUAAUGGUUGUUUUUUUCACAGAUGCCCCGUCUGCUAUUGUGAGAAUGAUCACAAUCCGUUCCUUAACGUGACCUAUGGCCAGCUGUACCACUGAACCAUGAUUGAGGCUGAAUUUUUUUAAAGACAGGGGUUUGAGGUAAAGAGCGCAUGGGAACACGAAUGGAAGGCUAUGCUACCUAACAAUAACUGGGUGGGGGCUUUUUUAUGAGGAAAAAAAAAACCUGUCACAGCCUUUGGUUCCUAGAGAUGCACUUUACAGAGGUAGAACGAACGCUAUCUGUCUGUAUUACAAACCGCAGUCCGGAGAGCAGAUUCAUUAAUACGAUUUUACCAGCCUCUACUCUUUUGUUAACAAGACUAAACAAUACCCAACAGAGCACCCCGUUACUGUGUAUGAGGAUUCUGGGGAAAUAAGAUGGUACUUUGGUAUUGCCAAAGUUAAAGUGUACCCUCCAAGAGGCCUGUAUUUCCCCAUUUUACCGUACAGAGUGGGGAGUAAACUAACGUUUUCCAUGUGCCCUUUGUGCAGAAACAAAAGGACCCCUGCAUACACAGUCAGGAGGAGAGGGCUUUAACAGGGACUUGGUGCACGAUAGAGCUGGUGGAGGCUUUAGACAAAGGGUACAGGAUCGCUGAGAUUUAUAAAGUCUGGCACUAACUGCUCUUCAGGUACCCUGUUUUCAAACUACAUUAAAACGCACCUGGGAUAGAAACAAGAGGCCUCAGGGUUCCGUUACUGGUGUACGGACAAGCUGAACAAAAAAAAAAAAUAGUACAUUAAAGAGUACCGUGAAAGAGAAGGCGUGUGUCUGCAUCUAAACAAGAUUAAGGAAAACUAUGCAAAAAGACAAAUCUCUACAUUUUCCCCACAAGGAAUUUAAAAACAGCCUAGUCAGCGAACAAAUUUGACUAACACCAAUAUAGUGACAGACCCCGACGAGCUCUUCAAGUAUGUCUUUGUACCUUAUUAUGAUGUCUCAUCAUGCGAGUUUAUCGACGAAGACACAGACUUAGUGUCUUGGAAGUAUGCAAAAGAACACUGCACCCUUUCCAGCAACACUAAUGUGUUUAUAGCAUGCUUUACCACUGCUUAUGCCAGGCUAGAGGUCUAUCAUCUGUUAGGUCGUUUACAGGAGCUUUACCACAAUAUGGAUUCUGUGAUUUUUGUGAGUAAAAAGGGGGCAUGGAACCCUCCCCUUGGGGAUUUGACCAGUGAAAUACCUCUAGAUGAAUGCGUCGUGGAGUUUGUGUCUGCUUGUUCUAAAAUAUAUGGUACAAACUGUCCAGCGGUAAGACCUGUAUGAAAGUAAAAGGGAUCAUGCUCAACUCAGGGAAUAGCGAGAAAAUUAAUUUUGAAAGUUUAAAAAUCCUCAUCUGGGAUUACCCCUUGGGAGAGGUCCCAAAACAAACUGUGGUACAGCCGCCAGGGAUAGUAAGAGUAAAA